CUUGGUCAUUUAGAGGAAGUAAAAGUCGUAACAAGGUCUCCGUAGGUGAACCUGCGGAGGGAUCAUUACAAGUUGACCCCGGCCCUCGGGCCGGGAUGUUCACAACCCUUUGUUGUCCGACUCUGUUGCCUCCGGGGCGACCCUGCCUCCGGGCGGGGGCCCCGGGUGGACAUUUCAAACUCUUGCGUAACUUUGCAGUCUGAGUAAAUUUAAUUAAUAAAUUAAAACUUUCAACAACGGAUCUCUUGGUUCUGGCAUCGAUGAAGAACGCAGCGAAAUGCGAUAAGUAAUGUGAAUUGCAGAAUUCAGUGAAUCAUCGAAUCUUUGAACGCACAUUGCGCCCCCUGGUAUUCCGGGGGGCAUGCCUGUCCGAGCGUCAUUUCACCACUCAAGCCUCGCUUGGUAUUGGGCGACGCGGUCCGCCGCGCGCCUCAAAUCGACCGGCUGGGUCUUUCGUCCCCUCAGCGUUGUGGAAACUAUUCGCUAAAGGGUGCCGCGGGAGGCCACGCCGUGAAACAACCCCAUUUCUAAGGUUGACCUCGGAUCAGGUAGGGAUACCCGCUGAACUUAAGCAUAUCAAUAAGCGGAGGA
rnacentral:rRNA from 1 species